CACUCCUACGGGAGGCAGCAGUGGGGAAUAUUGCACAAUGGGGGAAACCCCUGAUGCAGCCAUGCCGCGUGUGUGAAGAAGGCCUUCGGGUUGUAAAAGCACUUUCAGUAGGGAGGAAGGUAGUGUAGUUAACACCUGCAUUAUUUGACGUUACCUACAGAAGAAGCACCGGCUAACUCCGUGCCAGCAGCCGCGGUAAUACGGAGGGUGCGAGCGUUAAUCGGAAUUACUGGGCGUAAAGCGCAUGCAGGCGGCCUGUUAAGUCAGAUGUGAAAGCCCGGGGCUUAACCUCGGAAUUGCAUUUGAAACUGGCAGGCUAGAGUCUUGUAGAGGGGGUAGAAUUUCAGGUGUAGCGGUGAAAUGCGUAGAGAUCUGAAGGAAUACCAGUGGCGAAGGCGGCCCCCUGGACAAAGACUGACGCUCAGAUGCGAAAGCGUGGGGAGCAAACAGGAUUAGAUACCCUGGUAG
rnacentral:rRNA from 1 species